CCCUUCGGGGUGGAUUAGUGGCGAACGGGUGAGUAACACGUGGGCAAUCUGCCCUUCACUCUGGGACAAGCCCUGGAAACGGGGUCUAAUACCGGAUACGACGCGCUCGGGCAUCCGAUGUGCGUGGAAAGCUCCGGCGGUGAAGGAUGAGCCCGCGGCCUAUCAGCUUGUUGGUGAGGUAACGGCUCACCAAGGCGACGACGGGUAGCCGGCCUGAGAGGGCGACCGGCCACACUGGGACUGAGACACGGCCCAGACUCCUACGGGAGGCAGCAGUGGGGAAUAUUGCACAAUGGGCGAAAGCCUGAUGCAGCGACGCCGCGUGAGGGAUGACGGCCUUCGGGUUGUAAACCUCUUUCAGCAGGGAAGAAGCGAAAGUGACGGUACCUGCAGAAGAAGCGCCGGCUAACUACGUGCCAGCAGCCGCGGUAAUACGUAGGGCGCGAGCGUUGUCCGGAAUUAUUGGGCGUAAAGAGCUCGUAGGCGGUCUGUCGCGUCGGAUGUGAAAGCCCGGGGCUUAACCCCGGGUCUGCAUUCGAUACGGGCAGACUAGAGUGUGGUAGGGGAGAUCGGAAUUCCUGGUGUAGCGGUGAAAUGCGCAGAUAUCAGGAGGAACACCGGUGGCGAAGGCGGAUCUCUGGGCCAUUACUGACGCUGAGGAGCGAAAGCGUGGGGAGCGAACAGGAUUAGAUA
rnacentral:rRNA from 1 species